GAUGAACGCUAGCUACAGGCUUAACACAUGCAAGUCGAGGGACCGGCGCACGGGUGAGUAACACGUAUACAACCUGCCCUUUACUCGGGGAUAGCCUUUCGAAAGAAAGAUUAAUACCCGAUAUAAAGGAUGGGGAUGCGUUCCAUUAGGUUGUUGGUGAGGUAACGGCUCACCAAGCCUUCGAUGGAUAGGGGUGCGGAGAGGAAGGUCCCCCACAUUGGAACUGAGACCCGGUCCAAACUCGUACGCGGGGCAGCAGUGAGGAAUAUUGGGCACUGGGCUCUAGCCUGAACAAGCCAAGUAGCGUGAAGAAUGAAGGCUUAUGAGACGUAAACUUCUUUUAUAUAAGAAUAUGUAUUAUAUGAAUAAGGAUCGGCUAACUCCGUGCCAGCAGCCGCGGUAAUUC
rnacentral:rRNA from 1 species